UGCCCUUUUUGUUCAUGACCGUAGGUCUUUUUGAGGCCAUUUGAGUUUGACGCUUCCUCUUGGUGCUCGAGCUUGGGGGCCUGAACUUCUUGUUACCUUGAGGAAGUCGAUUUUUCCUCAACCUGUGUUGAGUUCCCUCUUAGUGACUGAGGGUUUUUGAUAAGAGUUUUCAUCCUCAUUGAGAUGAGGUCCCUUGUGUCUUU
rnacentral:lncRNA from 1 species